rnacentral:rRNA from 1 species
AGGCAGCAGUGGGGAAUAUUGCACAAUGGGCGCAAGCCUGAUGCAGCGACGCCGCGUGCGGGAUGAAGGCCUUCGGGUUGUAAACCGCUUUUGUUCAAGGGCAAGGCAGGCUUUCGGGCCUGUUGAGUGGAUUGUUCGAAUAAGCACCGGCUAACUACGUGCC